CUCACAUCCGGGUAUCCUCCCACAUCCGGGUAUCCUCCCACAUCCGGGUAUCCUCCCGCCUCCGCAUCCAGGGAUCCUCUUCCAGGUGCGUUAGGAGGUCUGUGCCCUCGUGCGAGUCUUUGGCUGUUCAGCCAUUCUUUAUGCACCCAACCUCUAGGCGUGGGACAGCACUCUCGCCUCAGUUCCUCCAGUGUCUCUUUCACGUCCUUUUCUUCCUCACUCUACCAACCAAACGUUCAUUCCCUUCAGGCUCUGGGUUAGGAAAAUAAAAUGGCCUGACUACAGAAAGGAAACUCCAAAAUUUAUGGGCUUGUGAUUGCAGUUCAACUAUUGUGUUUGGAGUGAAAUCCCUUUCUUUGAGCAGUUUUAACGGGAACUCUGAAAAGGAUCUCAGGGACUCUGAGAGGUCCUAGGACUACACUUUCAGAAUUGUUGCUGUAAAAACUCUGUUUGAAUUCUGUUCCAUGUGCGUGGAUCAGCAAGUCAAAAU
rnacentral:lncRNA from 1 species